rnacentral:lncRNA from 10 species
GAUCUGCGGAGCUCCCGAACCUCUUUAACCCUGCCCGCCCUUCCAACCCUAGGUUUCCUCCUUAUAUCCCCAGUUCCCAGCCUCCAUCGUUUAAAUUGGGGUAUUUAACGACCCAAGAAACUUGAAAUUUCACCGAUCUACCUGCAUUUUGAUGCAGAGAAAGAUGGGAGGAAACGCGAACCAUUGAAUUAAAUCUGAGUUAAAACUGAUCUCCCAUUUUCACGCCCCACUCUCUUCCUUUCCUUCCCACUUAAAACAAACAAAACACACAUAAAUUGCUGGGCCAGAGUAUUUCUCCGCUGAGAGCACAGUUCAUACCGUGUGGCAGAUUCCCCGCGCAGGCGGGGCGCGGGGGCAGGGGAGAGGCUUGUGUGUCCGCGUGCCUGCGUGCACCCGAUGGAAAAGGGGGUGCCGAAAAACAAUGGUGCUUACUCUUGUGCAUAGUCAUCGUUUUCACUAGUCUUGUUUUAUGGGCAGAUUAGGUGAGGCUUCUGUUUUUGCUUUUUUGUUUUAUUUUGUUUUUUUUUUUUUUUUUUGAGACGGAGUUAUGCUGUUGUUGCCCAGGCUGGAGUGCAAUGGCGCGAUCUCGGCUCACCGCUAUCCGCCUCCCGAGUUCAAGUGAUUCUCCUGCCUCAGCCUCCCGAGUAGCUGGGACUACAGGCAUGCGCCACCAUGUCCGGCUAAUUUUGUAUUUUUAGUAGAGACGGGGUUUCUCCAUGUUGGUCAGGCUCGUCUCGAACUCCCGACCUCAGGUGAUGCGCCCGCCUCGGCCUCCCAUAGUGCCGGGAUUACAGGCAUGAGCCACUGUGCCUGGCCCUUUUUUUUUUUUUUUUUUUUUCCAGAAAAGCAGGUUUAUUUCACAAAACUGUGGGUCUGAAAGCUGGUGGACAAGAAAGCUAGUUAUAUUGUCCAAGUCGUGGAGGAAUUGCAAUAGCUGCUUUAUUUUAUGAAAUGUUGAUUUAAGCAAAGAAGCUUUAGAGAAGAUUUAUUUUUCUAGAAAAAAACAACCUGACCUUUUAAGUUUUUCAGGUUGAACCUGUCUCACUCAAAUUAAGAACGUUUGUAGCUAAAGAAGGUUUAUUGGACUUGGAGGUUGCAGCUGGAGUGAGAUAACAUUUCGGUAUUAGGCAUAGUGAAUCUAUGGGUGUUGUAAGUGUUGGCUGUAUCCCAAGUGGAAUUGAAUGUUAUUAAACCCUUUCAAGAACUUCAUUUCUGUCUACCAACAGGUUUUUGCUACAAUCCAGUAGACUUGGGAAGUUUCUAAAUACUUGAAGUUGGUUAGUUCGAACUUUCAAGAAAAGGAAACAGUUAAAAACAGAGCUUGACAGGUCACCCAGGUGACCCGGUGUGUUAGGGGCAGUUUCAAAGACUGAUGUGAGGAGUAGUGGAAAGGGGUCAGUGAGUGAUACGGUCAUUGUGAAGCAUUGGCUGGACAGUUCUUUACAGCCCCCCUGCACAGCUGCAGGCUGUGAGGUAUGUGGUCAAGAAAUGGAGAUAAAGCUGUUUCUGAGUUCAAACACAGUAGGAAGGCUGCGAAAUGGCUGGCAUUGCCCGGCUGUGUUUGCAUCCUCUCUCUGCCAUUUGAGGGCAGUGGAUUCAGCAUGCAUCUUUGAAAUAUAUCCCAGCUUGUCAGAGGCGAGAACCGAAGUUUGGAGGUAGACGAGCAGGCGAGCGGUUUGCCCGGGCGCAGAGCA